GAAUCACAAACAAAUAAAGAGA
rnacentral:snRNA from 1 species